rnacentral:rRNA from 1 species
AGCGAACGCUGGCGGCAGGCCUAACACAUGCCAGUCGAACGAACCUUUCGGGGUUAGUGGCGGACGGGUGAGUAACACGUGGGAACGUGCCUUUAGGUUCGGAAUAACUCAGGGAAACUUGUGCUAAUACCGAAUGUGCCCUUCGGGGGAAAGAUUAAUCGCCUUUAGAGCGGCCCGCGUCUGAUUAGCUAAUUGGUUGAGGUAAUGGCUCACCAAGGCGACGAUCAGUAGCUGGUCUGAGAGGAUGAUCAGCCACAUUGGGACUGAGACACGGCCCAAACUCCUACGGGAGGCAGCAGUGGGGAAUCUUGCGCAAUGGGCGAAAGCCUGACGCAGCCAUGCCGCGUGAAUGAUGAAGGUCUUAGGAUUGUAAAAUUCUUUCACCGGGGACGAUAAUGACGGUACCCGGAGAAGAAGCCCCGGCUAACUUCGUG